rnacentral:rRNA from 1 species
UACGUAGGGUGCAAGCGUUAAUCGGAAUUACUGGGCGUAAAGCGUGCGCAGGCGGUUCGUUAAGUCAGCUGUGAAAGCCCCGGGCUCAACCUGGGAACUGCGGUUGAAACUGGCGAACUAGAAUCUGGCAGAGGGGGGUGGAAUUCCACGUGUAGCAGUGAAAUGCGUAGAGAUGUGGAGGAACACCGAUGGCGAAGGCAGCCCCCUGGGCUGAGAUUGACGCUCAGGCACGAAAGCGUGGGGAGCAAACAGG